UGCGUUUUAAUUUUUGACUCUAUUUGUUGUGGUGCUAUGAGUUUUUAUUUUGUUUUUAUGUUGUUUUUUGUAAAAUGUUUUAAUUUUUUUUAGUUUCUUGUGGUAUCAAAAAUUUGUUUUUUGAACUGGAUUAGUACCCAGGUAAUCAAAAUUUAAUAAUUCGGGAGUAAAGUUUUGUUUAAACCGAAAAAAUAUUGACUGACUUUAGAUUUUUCUUUGGAAUAUGUGAUUUGCUGGAGAGCCCUCUUUUUUGGUGAAUUUUGUUGGCACAUGUAUGAUUGUUUAGUUUUUAUUUUAUUUUGUAAUGCUUUGUUGUUUUGGCAUUAAAAACAGAUAUAUAUUUGGCUUAUGAAUUUAUGUUUCAUGUGUUACUAUUAUGAAUUUUUUUUGGAUUAGUUUUUUAUUUUUUUUUGAAAUUGGAAAAGAAAGUAAUUUUUUCUUAAUGUUUUAAUGAAUUUAAUAAAUAAGG
rnacentral:rRNA from 1 species